UACGGAGGAUCCGAGCGUUAUCCGGAUUUAUUGGGUUUAAAGGGUGCGCAGGCGGAAGAUUAAGUCGGUGGUGAAAUUUUGCAGCUCAACUGUAAAAGUGCCAUUGAUACUGGUUUUCUUGAGUGUGGAUGAAGUAGGCGGAAUUUGUGGUGUAGCGGUGAAAUGCAUAGAUAUCACGAGGAACUCCGAUUGCGCAGGCAGCUUACUAAACCAUAACUGACGCUGAGGCACGAAAGUGUGGGGAUCAAACAGGAUUAGAUA
rnacentral:rRNA from 1 species